AACAGGAGACGAUGAGUCGUUCCAUGACUUCCUGGAGUGUGUUCGCAAAGCGCAUGCAUGUCCAGUGUAAGGAAGAUCCUGGAGAAGCUGGACCCCAUCGACAAGUACAGAAAACCAGCAGCAGCAGCACCCCAGGCCGCUGAGCCAGAUGCAUCUCCGAUCAGUAAGCCCCCAGCAGCUCCGAGGAAACCGUGUCCUGGUACGUUAACUUUACUUGUCCACCUCAUAUUCUUUACCUACAGUACUACUGUAAAACCUGUGACUAACAACCACCCCUUGGGGCCAGAGAAAGCGGUCUUUAGUGACAGGUGGUCCUCAUUUAGAGGUUUGCACCGCACAACCAUUAAUAUCAAUGUGAGACCGUCCGUGCCUGGCGAAGUGGUCUGUAGUAGCAGGCUGGUCGCUAGUCACGGUGGUCUGUUGCUACAGGUUUUACUGUAUUGGGCGAUGAAGAACGGAGCGCCGAAGAAAGACCAGCCUAAAUGUUCACCAAGCACAGCAUACCAAUGUACACAAGGUGACUCGACUGGCAUAGACUUGAAAUAGAAAUUUUCUAGGCUAGGAGGGCUGACCCCCCUCUUCCAGUUCUCUGGCGACCGACAGUACUGUUUUGCUCUGAGAACCAGCACUGUGUUAGGGCAUUACGUCAUCAUUCGGGGUACUUGCAUGCAGUGACGGGUCUCACUGCUAAGUCACUGCACUCAUAGCAUACUAUACAUGAUGAUUUUACAUUCGCAUGACGUCAUAGAGAAUGAUGUCGAUGCUGUGCUCAAAUCUGCUUCUUAUGUUUUGUUUGUGAUCAGCUUUGGUAGUGCUUUCUCUGGUAUGUUAACGUGGCCCAAUAUCAUCUUCAUCGCUCUCUGUGGUUCCGUCUGUCUUUCGCUCUCCCAGCCGCUCUCUCUCUCUCUCUCUCUCUCUCUCUCUCUCUCUCUCUCUCUCUCUCUCUCUCUCUCUCUCUCUCUCUCUCUCUCUCUCUCUCUCUCUCUCUCUCUCUCUCUCUCUCUCUCUCUCUCUCUCUCUCUCUCUCUCUCUCUCUCUCUCUCUCUCUCUCUCUCCUCUCUCUCUCUCUCUCUCUCUCUCUCUCUCUCUCUCUCUC